rnacentral:rRNA from 1 species
ACGGAAGGCAGCAGGGAAUAUUGCACAAUGGGGGGAACCCUGAUGCAGCAACGCCACGUGUGGGAAGACGCAUUUCGGUGUGUAAACCACUGUCGUGAGGGAAUAAGGCUACUUUCCGGAGUAGUUGAAUGUACCUUGAAAGGAAGCACCGGCAAACUUCGUGCCAGCAGCCGCGGUAAUACGAGGGGCGCAAGCGUUGUUCGGAAUCACUGGGCGUAAAGGGAGCGCAGGCGGAGAUGCAAGCGGACUGUACAAUACCGGGGCCCAACCCCGGACCUGCAGUCCGGACUGCACCUCUUGGAUAGUUCAGGGGCAAGCGGAAUUCCUGGUGUAGCGGUGGAAUGCGUAGAGAUCAGGAAGAACACCGAUGGCGAAGGCAGCUUGCUGGGGACUAAUCGACGCUCAUGCUCGAAAGUGCGGGUAGCAAACAGGAUUAGAUACCCUGGUA